CCCUUAGAUGUUCUGGGCCGCACGCGCGCUACACUAACGAUGGCAACGAGUUUUUCCUUCGCCGAAAGGUGUGGGUAAUCUUUUGAAACAUCGUCGUGCUGGGGAUAGAUCAUUGCAAUUUUUGAUCUUGAACGAGGAAUUCCUAGUAAGCGCGAGUCAUCAGCUCGCGUUGAUUACGUCCCUGCCCUUUGUACACACCGCCCGUCGCUACUACCGAUUGAAUGGUUUAGUGAGGACUCCUGAUUGGCGCCGCCGCCCCGGCAACGGAGCAGCGGACUGCCGAAAAGUUGUUCAAACUUGAUCAUUUAGAGGAAGUAAAAGUCGUAACA
rnacentral:rRNA from 1 species